rnacentral:rRNA from 1 species
GACGAACGCUGGCGGCGUGCUUAACACAUGCAAGUCGAACGAGAAAGCACUUCGGUGCGAGUACAGUGGCGAACGGGUGAGUAACACGUGGGCAACCUGCCCUGGAGAGCGGGACAACCCGAGGAAACUCGGGCUAAUACCGCAUGAUGCGUCCUGGCGUAAGUCGGGCCGCCACAUGGUAGCUCUUCGGAGCCUCCGCUCUGGGAUGGGCCCGCGCCGGAUUGGCUAGUUGGUUGGGGUAACGGCCCACCAAGGCGACGAUCCGUAGCUGGUCUGAGAGGACGAUCAGCCACACUGGGACUGAGACACGGCCCAGACUCCUACGGGAGGCAGCAGUGGGGAAUCUUGCGCAAUGGGCGAAAGCCUGACGCAGCAACGCCGCGUGAGGGAAGAAGGCCUUCGGGUUGUAAACCUCUUUCAGGAGGGACGAAGCUUCCGGGGUUAAUAGCCUACGGGGUGACGGUACCUCCAGAAGAAGCCCCGGCUAACUACGUGCCAGCCGCCGCCGUAA